GACGAACGCUGGCGGCGUGCCUAAUACAUGCAAGUUGAGCGCUGAAGGUUGGUACUUGUACCAACUGGAUGAGCAGCGAACGGGUGAGUAACGCGUGGGGAAUCUGCCUUUGAGCGGGGGACAACAUUUGGAAACGAAUGCUAAUACCGCAUAAAAACUUUAAACAAAAGUUUUAAGUUUGAAAGAUGCAAUUGCAUCACUCAAAGAUGAUCCCGCGUUGUAUUAGCUAGUUGGUGAGGUAAAGGCUCACCAAGGCGAUGAUACAUAGCCGACCUGAGAGGGUGAUCGGCCACAUUGGUACGGAGACACGGCCCAAACUCCUACGGGAGGCAGCAGUAGGGAAUCUUCGGCAAUGGACGAAAGUCUGACCGAGCAACGCCGCGUGAGUGAAGAAGGUUUUCGGAUCGUAAAACUCUGUUGGUAGAGAAGAACGUUGGUGAGAGUGGAAAGCUCAUCAAGUGACGGUAACUACCCAGAAAGGGACGGCUAACUACGUG
rnacentral:rRNA from 1 species